CCUACGGGGGGCAGCAGUCGAGAAUCAUUCACAAUGGGGGAAACCCUGAUGGUGCGACGCCGCGUGGGGGAAUGAAGGUCUUCGGAUUGUAAACCCCUGUCAUGUGGGAGCAAAUUAAAAAGAUAGUACCACAAGAGGAAGAGACGGCUAACUCUGUGCCAGCAGCCGCGGUAAUACAGGGGGCUCAAGCGUUGUUCGGAAUCACUGGGCGUAAGGCGUGCGUAGGCUGUUUCGUAAGUCGUGUGUGAAAGGCGCGGGCUCAACCCGCGGACGGCACAUGAUACUGCGAGACUAGAGUAAUGGAGGGGGAACCGGAAUUCUCGGUGUAGCAGUGAAAUGCGUAGAUAUCGAGAGGAACACUCGUGGCGAAGGCGGGUUCCUGGACAUUAACUGACGCUGAGGCACGAAGGCCAGGGGAGCGAAAGGGAUUAGAUACCCCGGUAGUC
rnacentral:rRNA from 1 species